rnacentral:rRNA from 1 species
CCUGAUUGAUAACAUUUGAGUGAGUGGCGGACGGGUGAGUAACACGUGGGUAACCUGCCCUAAAGUGGGGGGAUAACAAUUUGGAAACAGAUGCUAAUACCGCAUAAAACCUAGCACCGCAUGGUGCAAGGUUGAAAGAUGGUUUCGGCUAUCACUUUAGGAUGGACCCGCGGUGCAUUAGUUAGUUAGUGAGGUAAAGGCUCACCAAGACCGUGAUGCAUAGCCGACCUGAGAGGGUAAUCGGCCACACUGGGACUGAGACACGGCCCAGACUCCUACGGGAGGCAGCAGUAGGGAAUCUUCCACAAUGGACGAAAGUCUGAUGGAGCAACGCCGCGUGAGUGAAGAAGGUUUUCGGAUCGUAAAACUCUGUUGUUGGAGAAGAACGUAUUUGAUAGUAACUGAUCAGGUAGUGACGGUAUCCAACCAGAAAGCCACGGCUAACUACGUGC